rnacentral:lncRNA from 1 species
CAGGCUUCAUCCAGUGUCUCAAAUGAUGUCACCAAGCCCUGGUUUCUCACUGUUUCUUGCGUGGCUCUGCUGUCUUGAUGUUGUCUCAACCCCUUGGCUCUUCCAUCUGGAGGGAAGGUGGCUGUAGCAACUCCAGGUUCAAGUCCAGCAGAAAUGGCUCAAAGUCCUCCCACCGAGUCUUUCUGUCUCUGAUUAGCCUUACCUGGACCAUAUGCUUGUAUCUGACUCAAUCACUGAUGCCAAGAGAGUAUGAUGCUCUUCUUGGCGAAUCCUGGGUCAUAUGCCACCUCUGGAGCUGGAGGUGGAGUCAGACCCACUGGAGCAACAUGCGUUGAGAGUUGGGAGGGUGGGAUCCCAAAUGAUAAUCUGAGGCUGUUACUGGAACUAGGGUAGGGUGAGUGGAUGUUGGGCAGCCAAAAAUUAUCCUGAAUAUAUACUACAGGCUUGGAGUUUCAGUAUAUCGAAGGAUUCUCUGAUCCCAUAUCUUUUCAGCUCCUAGCUGUGUGACCUUGAGCAAAUGACUUACUAUUGGUAAGCCUUAGUAUCUUCUUCUAUAUAUGGUCAUGCAGCACAGAAUGACGUUUCAGUCAACCAUGGACUGCAUAUGCAACAGUGUUCCCGUAAGAUCAGUACCAUAUAGUGCAGGUGUGUAGGAGGCUAUACCAUCCAGGUUUGUGUAAGUACACUCUAUGAUGUUCGCACAACAUCAGAACGUAUCCUCGUUGGUCAGCGACGCAUGACUGUAAUGGGUUAACAUUAACGACCUUGAGAGUAAUGAUGUGUGUAAAGCACCUAACAAGAGUGCCUGUCACGUAUUAGGCAGAGAGUAAAUAGCUAAUGAGAAUAAAUAAUAGCAAAAGAGUCCUGGAAGAAUAUAUACAUUUGGCUAAAGCAUGAGAUAUGGCUGAUAGUGAUGUUCUUUGACUAAUCUCAGUCUGAACUGAUUGAUGUUUAAUCAGUUGAUUAAACGUUUGCUACUUUGUUCAAGAAUCAAGACUCUGUGUAUCUGGUUUAGGGACAGGUUAUUUCUCCAUAGUAUUUUCCUUAGUCUUCGGUUUUGAUUAUUAAUGAAAGAUUAGUUUGUUUUAGAUUUUAUUUUUGAAUUUAUAAUAUGUGGACUAAAUAUCUGAAUUAGAAGGUGCAGAAUGGAUGGAUUAUAAAAAAGGCUUUAGAAAGCAGUGCUAGAUUAUUUUUCUUUUGGAUCUUUGACACCCGUUAAUCACGCAGGUGGUUCUAAAAUCUCACAGCUGGGGUAGCAGUAGGCCAUUUGGGCAGCUGGUAGUUAUUGUAAGGCAAGGUGGAACUAUCAGUUCAUAGUCUCGACCCUUAGAAGCACUUCCGAGGUCCUUGGGGAUACGUGAGAUUAGUGGGUGAGGUUCAAGCUUAGCUCAAGAGACCCGUUGGACUGUGGGGUCAUCCCAAAUCCUGUCUAAGAUUUUAAAAUUUGAAGCUGACCACGGCCAGACAGUAUGUCCUCCAGGUCUGUUCCGGCCCUAGCCUGAACCACAGGGCCGCCCAGUUAACUGUGGAGGUACAAGACCACAAGCACAACUUUGAACAUUUCUGUCAUGAAGCGUUUCCUGAGAAAGUGCGAGCAAGCAUUU